AGGACGAACGCUGGCGGCGUGCUUAACACAUGCAAGUCGAGCGGAAAGGCCCUUCGGGGUACUCGAGCGGCGAACGGGUGAGUAACACGUGAGUAAUCUGCCCCUAGCUCUGGGAUAGCUCCGGGAAACCGGGAUUAAUACCGGAUACGACCACCUUAGACAUCUUUUGUGGUGGAAAGAAUUUCGGCUAGGGAUGAGCUCGCGGCCUAUCAGCUUGUUGGUGGGGUAACGGCCUACCAAGGCGACGACGGGUAGCCGGCCUGAGAGGGCGACGGCCACGACGUGGGACUGAGACACGGCCCAGACUCCUACGGGAGGCAGCAGUGGGGAAUAUUGGACAAUGGGCGCAAGCCUGAUCCAGCAAUGCCGCGUGAGUGAUGAAGGCCUUAGGGUUGUAAAGCUCUUUCGCCCGCGACGAUGAUGACGGUAGCGGGAGAAGAACGCCCCGGCUAACUUCGUGCCAGCAGCCGC
rnacentral:rRNA from 1 species